AAUAGGAAAGUUUCGUUUUUUCACACCACCGACCUUGAUUUUAUCAAAAUGGUGGAAGAAACGUACUCCAGAUGUUCAUCCUACACCAGCUGUGUCAAGAGACCAAGCACGUUAUGAUCCAUAUUUAUGUACAAGCAUACUCAGCAGAAGAAGAAAUCCACAUAAACAACAUCAACUAUCUAUCGAUCAAGGUGUACAGAUAUGCGAGAGAAAAUACAAAGGUUUCAAGGUCAACGUAGAUAUAUCUCGCUGUUCUUUUUUUUUGUUCUCCUAUUCUGACUUGGUAUUGAUUUUGUUGAUUUCCGCUUUGUGCAUGUAAGGGCUUAUCUUUGUUAUGUUUUAGAUUGGCUCAUAUUCUUCAAGAGUAGUUGUUCCGUUUUAUGAUUCCUUUUUUUGCCAAUUGUUUUUCUGAUUUAUUAUUAUUCGUUUGAUAGUGAAUUUCACUGUUUGGAUGUUCAUUGGGUUAACGUGGUUCUUUGUAUUAGGUUAUAAAUUUUGACGAUCCAACUCUAGUGAGGAAGAAUAGCAAAAUAGACGACCAGGUAAAUCCUAACCAAAAAAGAUUUAUUGAUAUGAUGAGUAGUAUUAUCAUGAACUUAUAUGUAUAGUGAUAUAAGUCUCCAAGCUUUACAAUAUUACGGCAUACUAAAUAUGUGACAGAAUGAAGAUUUUUUGUAAUUUACCUAAUGUUGAUUAGGUUGCUUUGGAAGUAUUAGGUAGUGUAACACUCAAUAGAGUUUCUUUUGGUGGUAUCCGGGAUGGUGUGCGUUUUGAUCGAGCAGUAACAUAAGGAUAAACUAUCUAAUUUGUAUCACCUGUGUUAAUUUGUAAACACUCAAUUUAACGCCAACUAUUUUUUUGAUCAAUUAGUCGUGUUUGGUUCAAUUUUGGGUGGCCUCCUGUAAGUUUAGAGUGGUUGUAAGAUGUUAUAACGGGUUAGCUCAGGCGCGUUCUUUACUAUUGUAGUGGUAUUAGAUGUGGUUAUUUACAGGUAAUCAAAGACACAAUUUUAUGGUUAUUUGAAACCGCUAGAUUAUCUAAUGUAUUAUAUAUGAGCGUGACUACGACGAUGCAUGGUUAAGCGACGGGAAACCUAAUGGUGUCACAUGUGAAUCAUUAUUUCUGCCGUAUAUGAGGUGCCCCGUUGUCCGUUAUCGGGAGCAGCACUUAUUAUACAGUAUGCGUACACCCGUCAGCAGUCCUUCAUUUGGCUCUAACAUCUUCAUCUGGGAAGAUACAUCACUUAUAAAAUAUCAUCCGUGCUCGCUUCUCCUUCUUUUAGUUUACUCUUUUCAACAUCACCUUCCACUGUGAGGGUUCCAUGUUAGAUAUGAACAUUUUGAAAGGUAAAUUCAAAGAAUGGGAAGAGAACAUGGGUAAGCUACUAUGGCAUUACUUAUAAAGCACCUUACAAGUCAUCUGUCAGCAAGUAUCAAAGUAAGUUAUUUUCCUUUUUGUGGUUUUGAUAAAUUUUUUUGCAUAAAUUUAGUAAUUUUUAAUUUUAUUUUCGCAUACUGAAUGCAAUGAACAUGAUUUAUUGUGUCUGUGGAUGAUUCUCUGUGAGCUACCGAUUAGGGUGCAUAAUUUUAUAUAAAUUUGGACUCUUGAAUUCAUAUGUUUCGGUUUCCUCCAUUAGCUAAUGCUCCCAGUAAUGCUUACAAUUUGGAUAUACUGUUGUUGUUAAUCAUCUAGAAAUCUCUCUGGUGCUUAAGAACAUGGAUCACUCAUCAAAUGAGUAGUCUUCAUAGCGAUUUAACUGUAAUUAUUAAUCUUUGUUAUGUAUUCUUUUGUUUUUUAUAUAAGGAUGAUCUUAUUUUUCAAGCUUCUAACUACUCUAAUGACCAAGAAAACAUUGUUGUGAAGAGAUCUUUUUCCAGACAACUACAACCACCAAUAAAAACUCUAACAACGUUAUGCGAAGGGGUAAUCUUUCUGCUUUGGAUUGAUGGAUUUACAAUGUAUAAAGACUAGAAAAAGAUUUGGUGGAAGAAGAACAUGAUGGGCAGAAAAGAAACUUUUUGGAGGGAAUUGUGUAUUUUUAUGCUAUGUACCUCAUUACGUUAAAGACCGCUUGAUGGAGAGUGUCCGAUCUAUAUACCCUCGACGGUUAAGAGAUUUUAUGGAAGCUGUUAAUCCGUAUAUAUACACUCAGUUUCUUAAGUU